AUGGCAUCUUCCACUCUGAAAACAGGUGUGCCUGUCACUCUGCAAGAGCUAGAGCCCUCCUCGGAGAUGUUCAAGCAAGGAGCAUCCAUUCGAGUAACUGGAAUCAUUCAGUCAUACGAUGUGGACUCUGCAGUUGUUGUCAUUCGAGAUGGCAGCGCGACGCUGAAGAUCGACACCCAACACCUGAGGGACAUUGGUUUCCAGUCCACUGCGCCUUUCAUCGGCGUCGGCGAGCUCCUGAUCCGGCCAAACGACGACAGCGAUUCUGCAAGCACGUGUGGCAGGAACGUCGAUGGCCUUGACCUGAACCUUUAUCGCAGUUGCAUGAAGCCAGACUGCUGA
rnacentral:rRNA from 1 species